UCGUUGAAGUGGCUGUGGCCUUGGAGUGGGUAUGGCCUUUUUGAGUAGAUGUGGUCUUGGAGGAGAUGUGGCACUGUAAGAGUGGGCUUUGAGGUCUCCUAUGCUUAAAUUCCACCCAGUGUCAAAUUCCAGUCUCUUCCUGGCUGCCUUUGGAUCAAGAUGUAGAGCUCUGUGCUCCUCCAGCAUCAUGUCUACCUGUACACUGCCAUAUUUCCUGCCAUGACAUUAAGGGACUGAACCAGUAAACCGAAAUCACCAAAGAUUAUCAUCACAGCCUGGGAGUGGAGCCAUCUCCGCACUUGGUGACAAGGUCCAGCCCAGUGACCUCUCAAACCUCAACAUGCUUAGGAGCCACCUGCCAGUGUAAAGUUCCAAAACUGGGCAGCAAGACCUUAGAGCUCCAAGGAGUUCCCAGGUCAGGCAGUCGGAAGUCCCACCCAGAAGAGGCCAAUCUUCCCCAGUGACCACCUGGUUCACACAGGCUCUUUCCCACCAGGUAACAAAGCCAGGAAUGGCUCGCAGCUCAGUCCCAUCAUUGCACACAGGGCACAACAGCUGGGCCUUCAUCUAAGAUCUUAGGACUGCUGACAUUCCUGGCUUAUUUCAUUUGCUGAUCGUUUGUCCUUGUCUUCUAAUAGAAAGCAGAUUGCAAAAUUAGUUAGGGGUGGAAUCAAUGGCAGCCAUUUUCGAGUGGGGUUAAUAGGAUAGACUUUGUGACUUCCAAGAGAAUGCUCUUUGAGGGCAGGGGCUUAGGUUUUCUUCUCAGCAGCAUCCUUAGCAGGUAGGGAGAGUAGAGCCUUCCUGAACAAUCAGAGACAGAGAGCUGUAAAAUGUGCCGUGUGUGUGUGUGUGUGUGUGUGUGUGUGUGUGUGUGUGUGUGUGUGUGUGUGUGGUGUCCCUCAAGGGGCAAUGAGGGACAGGGGUAAAACUUGGGUACCACAGACCACUUCAAGGCCACUUCCAAUCCUAGCUUAGCUGUAGGAUUUUGCAGGGCACAAACACCAGAGCGAAUGUUCCUCAUGAAGUUCUAGGUAGGUACAUAAAAUCAGAGCAGGGGACAUAGUAGAGGGCAGAUCAACAAAAUCCAGAGUCCCCAACCCCCAAACCCUCAAUCCUAUAAGGGAAUGUGGUGAGUUGCCAAAGCAGAGAUCUCAGAAGCAAAUAUCAAAGCCAGGGAGCACAGCCAGGAAUCCCAGACCAGAGAGAUAAAGAGAAAGAGAAGUUCGUAGAUCACAGCUUAGAGGGGCCAAUCGGGAGCAGGCAUUGGAAGCUUGCUUUAAUGUGCUUCCAGAGCCAAGAUGGGGUGUGUGAGUCAAGGUUAUAAGGGCCAUGGAGGCUGGACAGAAUGGGAUUUCUGGAGCUUCUUGCUCCUCAGAGCAGAACCUGGAAAAAUAGUAUGAGGAGGUAGAAGCCAUACAGCCGUCUGCAAAGGGGGUGAGAACCUGGUUAAUCAGCCUGAAUCCAGGACUCAGUGUCUGCACUGUCACCAAAGAGCUGGCAUACACCUGCCUCAGUGUCCCUGGCAGGACUCAGGCUAGGUUUCAAGAAAGACUGGAAAGAAUCCCACUAAGUCUGCACUGUCCCUUCUGUGUUACAGGGUGGUAGCACAUAUUUGAAAUCCCAAUCUUUGCCACAGUCCGGGGUUAAAUUUCAUCCUUCACUAAAUCGUGAGUUUGACGCCAACCUGAGCUAUGUGAAAUCCUAUCUCGAAGCAAUGUUACUAAAGCAAAAAGGCAGAAUGAAAGCAUUAUGACAAAGUUCUAACUCCCAGCUUGGCCUUGUGGGUACAGGAUGGAAAAAACCACAAACAAACAUUAAUCUUUUCAAAAUUGUAUUUAAAAAAUAAAUAAAGUCUGACACUCAAAAGACUCAGGCAGUCAUCUGAGGACUUCCAAUUCCUUUUAGAAUGUGCUCCCCCGACUGCCAGCGGGAUACAUUUCCCUCCAAUGGAGCUGGUCAUCCGCUGUUGUCUUCUCCUGCAAUUCCACAGCGUCCUGGGCAACACAUCAUCCUUACAGCAGUGGAGUUACUUUACCCACAAGUCUCUCACCCAGCUUCAGGCAAAGCCUGACCACCCACCAUCAGUCCACCUGCUUUCCAGAGAGCUGACUGAGGCACCAAGGGAGGCAGAAGGUCUGCAGGGCACUUUCGAGCCCCUGGCACAAUCGCUACAUAAAAGUGAUGCCCCGUGUAGCCCCUGGACCAAAUGGCUCAGAGCACUACCUUCUGAGGCCACAAGAAAAUGUGCCCUAGACAAAUGGUGCCUCAGACCACUUGAGAGAAAAUCCCAGAUCAAUCCUUCAGGAGGCGACAGGUAACGGUCCCUGGAGGGGGAGGGGCGACUCUAACGUCUGGGAAAGGGGUUCUGCUCCUUGCUUCUCUGAGUGCCUUCCUGAGGCUGAUGGGACACUCCCUCACCGGUCUGCCUGAGCCUACAACUUCUCCAGGCCCGCCCUAGAUUCCUCUCCCCUGCACCAAAGGACUACAUGUGUGAGGGGCCGCGUUACAAGUGGACGCUCCGAAAGGCGACUCUGCUUCUGUGCCGGGUUUAUCACGGUUGCCUCGAGCCACAGCCUCCCAACCCCUACCCUGUGCAAAUACACAGCAGAUCGCAGGCAACAGCAGGACUGCGGGAAGGACUGAAUCAGGACAAGUGAAGAAAGCAAUGAACCAAGGCAAGAGAGACCUCAGGGAAGACCAGCAUCAGAGAAGCCCAAGGAAGACCAGCAGUGAGUUGCAAGGUGAACCAGUGCAAAAGCAUCGUCCGCUGUCUGUUGGUUUCCAUUCAUACUCUUUCCAGAUAUUACACGUUCUCUCAAGCAUUCGCUUCAGAAAAACAUCACAUGGCAUUUCACCAGACAGCUUCCUGAAAACAAUCAUGUCGGUUCUGAGCAACACAUACUCUCAUAAAACAGUUUCCAGAAUGAGCUGGGGAGGUGGCUCAGCAUU
rnacentral:sRNA from 1 species